AAAGGCCCUGUGCUCUCUGAGGUGGGUGGAGGCAGACAAUGAAAAGCAGGCAAGAUGUGUGGAGCAUCCGCCAGUGAUGAGCACUCCGGAGAAAAGUGGCAGUGAAGAGGACCUGUUGGCACAGGUCUAAAAGACCCAGAAAUGCAGGAGGCCGAGGUAGCAGGAGCCCAAACUUAAACCCCAAGUCAAAGAAACCAUGCACCAGCUUUUCACUCAGCAACUGGGAGGAUGGAGUUGCCAUUUUCUGAGCACUGAAUGAAGAUAUUUCUAAGAGGGAAGCCUGCAACUCGUUAGCACUAUCAAGCUCCACACCCCAGAUGUUAAUAUGCCCCUAACAUCUCUCUGCCUGCCUGGCAAAAAGAGAUCAGACAAUUCUUCCCUGGAAGCUGCCUCUGUGACAUAUAAAGGCUGGGAGAACUACAACGCCUGAACCCAUAGCUUGAGGCACCAGAGCCAAGUCCAGGAAAAGGGGCCAGCUGCCAGACAGUUCCACAGGAAUGCCCCCCAUGGAUGACAGAAUGUAGGUGUGACAAUCACUAUCUGCAGCAGCUGUGUAUAAGACCUUAUGCAAAAGAGCAGGGAAGGAGAUGCAAUUCUGAUCUCCUGUGACAUACAUCUCAGUAGGGACACAGGAGCACCAAGAUGGCUGACAACAGAGGAGACUAAGUAUCAACCACGUCAGUGGUCCUGUUCAGAGUAAGAACAGACAGAAUGGACAGAGAUUCAACUCAGUGUGAUGGUCAAAUGGGUUUGUGUUCAUCCACCCACCCAUUCCACCCAUCCAUCCAUCUACCCAUCUACCUGCUCCUGACCUAUCCAUUCAGGGUUUGUUGAACAGCUAACAAAAUUACCUAUGCUGUUUAGGCACCAGAGCAACCAGGAAAAAAUUUUGGAGAAUUGGGUAUCCAGUACUCAAAAGCCCCCGAGUUAACCAUUUCUAUUAAAUCCUUAUAACAGCCUGUAAA